AACCAAAAUGCAGUAAUCCUGAAGAUAAUUUUCUCUCCAACUGGUAGGAUCCGACCAAGAAAUGGAGGAAAAAACUUCACCAACAAAGAAGUACUCAUGGCUGAAAUCAUGCCCAGGACUCUUUGUAACGCCUAAGAAACUGAGGUUGGGAGAGGGCUUACAAGUCAAUGACUUCGCUUCAUCACAUAUGAUUUUUUUCUCCUACAGCUUUGAAUGAACCAAAAUCCAGUAAUUCUGAAGAUGGUUCCUAAGGUACGACAACAACUUAGCCUUGUCCUAACUAAAUAGGGUCGGCUGAAGAUGAUCCCAGAGAUAGAGAAGAUAAUUCCCAAAAGCUAUUGCUGUUUGAUCUCAACCUUGAACAUACUACUGAGGAGGUUACCACAACAGAUAGAAGAAACCAUCCUUGGAAAUAUGUCUUAAAUUGGAACAUGAUGGUAAUCUAAACAUCAAAUAAUAUUUCAUUGACAUCCCCCUGAGUAGUUUCCAUUGUAUUUAUUUUAAGAUGAUCGUCACUGUGAAAUAUUUUAUGGGAAAAAGAUUCUGUCUA